rnacentral:sRNA from 1 species
GCCUAGCCCUGAUAGCAGCGGAAAUCCUUUUUUGUUUGAUCUGGAGCGCAGCGGAAUGUCAAACAAAAAAGAUUGCAGCGGAUAGCAGGAACAUGC